rnacentral:lncRNA from 1 species
CAAAUUUUUGAAUCAAUACACUUGAACAUUCGAAUGUGAUACAAUACCACCUAACUAAAAAGGAGUAGGGAUCAAAGAGGUUCUAUUGCAUCCUCUAUAAAGCUCGAAACUACAAUAAACUACCCAUACUAAAAAUUGCACAAAAACAAUGGAACAGAAACUAUCCACUUCUGGGAACACGUGUACCGACGACAAAUCUUCCUCCUUCCAAUGGUAGUCCCGUACAGCAUUAGCAACUGCACCACCAGCAAGCACAGCGUCUUCUAGCUCUUGUACAGUUUGGGUAAGCUUUUCAACAUCUGAAACCUUUUGACGAUGCAUUUUAUCCAAAAUCUUGUUCUCUUCCUGAUACACAUAUUUUAGAUUAAAUCUGAAGUCAAGAAAAGGGGGAAAAUUGGAAGAAUAGAGAUUAAAACUUUUAUUGGCCCUUAAAAAUGAAAGAGCAGGCAUGAUUGCAAUACCUGACAGAUUUCUAUCCUGCAGUUUUGCAAUCUAAAAAGGAAAAAAGGGCAAAACAAGUUAACUGACCUAAAAGGAGGCCACGCAUUAAUGGGGAAUCAUUUCAGCUGAAAUCAGUUCCAGGCCCCCGUAAAUGAGAGCCUCUUUGUUUCCUGCUGUGAGACAACAUGAGUUUUAUAAGUUUUUUAAAGUCUCAACAGAACUACGAUGCCCAAGUUUAGAAAAAGUACUGGAAGGAAAUGACUCGGUAAAUUCUGGUUUAUCUUGAAGACCAUAUCUAUAAGACUGAUAAAAUUUAAAGAACGCCAUAAGUAAACUCCAGAAGCAUAUCAAGGACGGGGUAACAGCUUCACCAACUCGUGUUUUGGAAUUUUCUACAGCAUGCACCACACAGAUUGAAAAUAUAAAACAAGCAAAUUGAAGAGGUGGAUCAACAUAAAUUAUUGCCUAUGGGUGUGGGAGGAACUAUUGAAAAACAUACCUUUUUGAGUAGCAGCAGCAUGAAUUUUCAAUGCAAGCUCUUCCAAAGUUGUUACUUUUCAGAUAGAAAUGCCGCAAGAACGAAGCACAGGCUCUGAAUCAUAGUUAUUACUUUUCAAAGCCUGCCACAACCCAACCCCAGUUAAUCAAAGCCAACAUAAAAUCACAACUCUACUAAAAUAGUAACGUACGCCGCUCAGAGUUGACAUCCGCUCUUGUGGCUUUUGACGUGACUUCUCCACAAGGGAAGCUCUCUGAAAGGUGGAGAGAGCUUUGGUGUACCGUUGCAAGGACACCAAGGAACAUAGCUGCAAGGACAAAAGCAAACCAAUUAAACUCCUGUUUUCCAGAGACUAGUGGUGUUU